GGGGGAAACUGAGGCAGGCCUCUGCAGGGCACAUGGGCAAAGCUGUCUCCUUCCCACGGGCCAGAAAGGGGCCUCACCCCUGGCUGGGGAGCAACACAAGGGCAACACUGCUGUGCCUGUCUGUGUCUUGUCUGCAGCGGCAGGAGCCUCAGUGCGGCGGCGGUUCAGAAUCUGCUGAUCACAAAAGGCCAUCGACUGACUGACUCCACUGUCCUCCAGGGACCCCUGGCCACCUGGCCGCCUCCUCAAGAGCAAGUCAGAGCCUCCCAGGAUAAAGGAGGGCGCAGCAGCCCCACCUCCAGGACCUGCAGAGGUAGUGCAGAUCUGGGGCCCAGCCAAGCUCUUCCCUGCACCAGCUGUGUGGCCUGAGGCCAGUUACUUGGCUCCCCUGAGUCUUCCCUCCUACCUUGUAGAAAAGGACGGGAACCCAGACCUCUGACUGCUAGGUAGGUGCUGCAACACCACAUCACUGCAGAUAAAGGUCUGCAGGACCUGUGGUAUGGGAGGUGGCACAGUGGAUAAGUCACUGGACUCUCAACCAUGAAGUCCUGAGCUCGAUCCCCGGCAGCAUAUGUACCAGAGUUAUGUCUGGUCCUAUCCUAUCUCUCUCAUUAAUAAAAGAAAUACUUUGGGAGUCGGGCGGUAGCGCAGCGGGUUAAGCGCAGGUGGUGCAAAGCUCAAGGACAGGCAUAGGGAUCCAGUUCAAGCCCCCAGCUCCACCUGCAGGGGAGUCGCUUCACAGGCGGUGAAGCAGAUCUGCAGGUGUCUGUCUUUCUCUCCCCCUCUCUGUCUUCCCCUCCUCUCUCCAUUUCUCUCUGUCCUAUCCAACAACGCCAACAACAAUAAUAACUACAGCAGUAAAACAACAAGGGCAACAAAAGGGAAUAAA